AGGCCGUGAUGGGGACACUUGCGUAAUAGCUCCUUGAACCUUUCCCAAGUUUCAUAUAAGUAUUCCCCGUCCUCUUGUGAAUACGUAUUAAUUUCAGUCAUUAACUU
rfam:Helianthus annuus linkage group 5, whole genome shotgun sequence.